GGGUCUCUCGUAUAAUGGCAAGACCGCUGGCUUUUACCCAGCAGAUCAGGGUUCGAUUCCCUGGGGGCCCAC
rnacentral:tRNA from 1 species